GAUGAACGCUGGCGGCGUGCUUAACACAUGCAAGUCGAACGGAGAGGCAAAGCUUUUUCUGUGGUUCCGUGGGGGGCGGGUGAGUGACACAUGAGCGGACUGCCCCCGUCUCUGGGUUAGACGAUGGCGACAGCGUGGAGUACAGACUAUAUGAUGUGACCGCCCGGUCGGCUGAUGGGAAAAUUUCUCGGUCUGGGCUGGGCGUACGGGUUAUCAGGUUGUUUGUGAGGGUAUGGAUCACCAAGGCGUAGACGGGUAACCGGCCUGAGAGGGUGACCGGGCACAAUGGGACUGAGAGACGGCCCAGACUCCUACGGGAGGCAGCAGUGGGGAAUAUUGCACAAUGGGCGAAAGCCUGAUGCAGCAACGCCGCGUGCGGGAUGACGGCCUUCGGGUUGUAAACCGCUUUGAGCAGGGAAGAAGCGGAAGUGACGGUACCUGCUGAAAAAGCGCCGGCUAACUACGUG
rnacentral:rRNA from 1 species